rnacentral:rRNA from 1 species
UACGGGGGGGGCAAGCGUUGUUCGGAAUUACUGGGCGUAAAGGGCGCGUAGGCGGUUCGCUAAGUUGGAUGUGAAAACUCUGGGCUCAACCCAGAGCCUGCAUCCAAAACUGGCGGGCUAGAGUUCUGGAGGGGGUAGCGGAAUUCCUGGUGUAGCGGUGAAAUGCGCAGAUAUCAGGAGGAACACCGAUGGCGAAGGCAGGUCUCUGGGCAUUAACUGACGCUGAGGAGCGAAAGCAUGGGGAGCGAACAGG